rnacentral:rRNA from 1 species
UACGUAGGGUGCGAGCGUUAAUCGGAAUUACUGGGCGUAAAGCGUGCGCAGGCGGUUCGUUGUGUCGGUGGUGAAAGCCCCGGGCUUAACCUGGGAAUGGCCGUCGAAACUGGCGAACUGGAGUGUGGCAGAGGGGGGUGGAAUUCCACGUGUAGCGGUGAAAUGCGUAGAGAUGUGGAGGAACACCAAUGGCGAAGGCAGCCUUCUGGGCCAACACUGACGCUCAUGCACGAAAGCGUGGGGAGCAAACAGG